rnacentral:ncRNA from 1 species
CAUUUGACCCGUCUUGAAACACUUUCUAGAUUCUAUGGGUGGUGUUGCAUGGCCGUUCUUAGUUGGUGGAGCAAUUUGUCUGGUUAAUUCCGUUAACGAACUAGACCUCAGCCUGCUAACUAAGUAUGCGCAGGCAUCCCUUCGUGGCCAGCUUCUUUAGAAGGAUUAUGGCCUUUUAGGCCGCGGAAAUUUGAGGCAAAAACAGGUUUAUGAUGCCCUUAGAU